rnacentral:rRNA from 1 species
AUUGAACGCUGGCGGCAGGCUUAACACAUGCAAGUCGAGCGGGGUGAUGGUGCUUGCACUAUCACUUAGCGGCGGACGGGUGAGUAAUGCUUAGGAAUCUGCCUAUUAGUGGGGGACAACAUCUCGAAAGGGAUGCUAAUACCGCAUACGUCCUACGGGAGAAAGCAGGGGAUCACUUGUGACCUUGCGCUAAUAGAUGAGCCUAAGUCGGAUUAGCUAGUUGGUGGGGUAAAGGCCUACCAAGGCGACGAUCUGUAGCGGGUCUGAGAGGACGAGCCGCCACACUGGGACGGAGACACGGCCCAGACUCCUACGGGAGGCAGCAGUGGGGAAUAUUGGACAAUGGGGGGAACCCUGAUCCAGCCAGGCCGCGUGUGUGAAGAAGGCCUUAUGGUUGUAAAGCACUUUAAGCGAGGAGGAGGCUCUCUUGGUUAAUACCCAAGAUGAGUGGACGUUACUCGCAGAAUAAGCACCGGCUAACUCUGUGCCAGCCGCCGCUGUAA